CAAGUUUAAGCUUUAUUAGUAAAGCAUUUUAUUUACAUUAAAAAGUAGUCGUGCAAUUCGAUAUAAUUUGA
rnacentral:tRNA from 1 species